GUCUGAUGCCAUUAUAUCUCUGGUUGCACAGGGCGUCAUAUGUGAGCAGUUGUCGGUCGUUCGCUCGACGAUGGUCACCUUCUUCCACUUUCUUCUGUGUGUAGGGACCAAAUUGUUGACGCGUAGUGGCAACGGUGCAGGCAUUCGGCGGUGUGAACCUCUCCGUUUUGACACGCCCGCCGGUCAAGGCCAAAGAGACACAAUACCGUGGGUUUGGGAAGGGAUGGCAAGUGAAAGCCAAUCGCCAGUGGCUUCUUUAGUGACCGGGAGUCCAAAUUGUGUCUACAGUGAAGCGGGUGGGCUCCCUGAGGACCGUCCAGUCCCUACUGCCAGUCUGGAGCUGCGGUGGUUUAGUUGCUAUGGACUUGCGGGUGUCUGUUUCGUGGGGCGGAUCUCCUCUAAGGACGAUCUCGUGCGACUCCCCGAGUUCUUAUGUGCGUAGUUGCUUGGGCAUAGAGACAUGCCUCUGCGCGGCCUCCAGGGCCGACAAUAACUUCAUGGAGAGCAGAAAAAAAGCGGAGAGAAUCUCGAUACGGCCGCACGCGUAUGCUGGAGCCACUGCCGUUACCCGGAAUUGUUUCCUUGUUCCGCCUGACUCAAGUGAAUUCGUGGGGUCCUGCAUCUGCGAACUUCCUCGGUGUCAUGCUCAUACUCCAAGUCUCGUCUAAAUGUAUCGAACUUUUUCUCAUCUAGGAUGCUUACUGACACCUGAGUUCUGCCCAGUCGUCUCUCUCCGGUUGUUGGUCCCGUUCGCCACAGGUCAUUGCGGACUCCUCUAAUUGAGGUGAGUUUCCUCAAAGAAUCUUCGACGCAACUGGAAGUGUCAUCGACUGUAGUCCAGAUCUUGCCGACACACUAGCGCUCGCCGCCUCUCAAGUCCAC
rnacentral:lncRNA from 1 species